UUCCUGUAGCUGAGUUGGUAAGAAGCGCUCGCUUCCCAAGCGAGAGGACCCGGGUUCGAUUCCCGGGCAGGGCGAAA